rnacentral:tRNA from 1 species
UCUCUGGUGAUCCAGUGGCUAAGACUCUGUCCUUCCAAUGCAGAGGGUGCAGGUUUGAUGCCUGCUCAGGGAA